AUAUUCCUGCAGUAAGUAUGGAGCAUAUUACAUGGGCGCACAGACGGACUAUAAAUCUUCUGGCGAGGAUGUCAAAGUAAGUAUGAGUUGUGCAUAUCUGUCUUGACUAAUAGCCUGAGUUUUCCUUGGCAAAAAAAAAAAAAAAAAAAGAUUAAAAAAUAAAAUGCUGCAACAAAGAGCCAUUUGAUUCGAACUCGACCGGUCACUGACCCUUGUAAUUUCAAUCUGUAUCUUCUUUACUAGAUUCUUGAAUCGUAGAGACUUUCAAAACAGCAAUGUGUACAAGAGCCUGAAUAUCCCGAAACUCGGUUCAAUAGGUAGUGCUGUGUAAACGCAAAGCCUUCUGUCCAUAUUUGUGCAAGAAAACACUUAUCAGCCAUAGGAAAAAAUUAUUCAUCUACAGUGUUAGUCAGCAAUUCCCAUAGGAAUGGUACUGAUUGUUGAAUUAAUUGACAUCAGUAUCGACGAUAUACUAAGGAUAAUAAUGGGAGGGUCACGGAUAUCAUAGUUGGAAACAACAUAAUGUUGCCUUAAGACUGGAUAGUCCAAUGCUUCAAAUUCAUUCGGUAUUUAGGCUGAUACUUUCGUCAUGAAUGUCAUUACCAUAAAGUCUGAUGUCGGAGAAACUGAAAAUAUUAACAUUGGUUCGUUUCUUCAAACAUGCCACAACAUAUGGAUCGGACAAUGAUAUUCUGAACUGUAAGAUUCAGUGGCCGGUUGAUUCGACAUAACUGGCCCUUGAUACAUGCAUCGAUAAUUGUGCACAAUAAAAAUGCUUUAAAAACUUUGCUUGUAUGAAUAUCACAAUUAACCCGUAUGAUUGCAGCAACAAUAAUCAAAUCUUACGGCAAAGUAUUUACGUUCCCUAGCCUCGAGUAUUUCCUUAGUGGUAUUGAAAUCCCAUUCCGGUCUCUUUGGCAUGUCAA